ACGCUAGCUACAGGCUUAACACAUGCAAGUCGAGGGGAAACGGCAUUAAGUGCUUGCACUUUUUGGACGUCGACCGGCGCACGGGUGAGUAACGCGUAUCCAACCUUCCCAUGACUAAGGGAUAACCUGCCGAAAGGCAGACUAAUACCUUAUGGUCUUCACUGACGGCAUCAGAUGUGAAGUAAAGAUUUAUCGGUUAUGGAUGGGGAUGCGUCUGAUUAGUUAGUUGGCGGGGUAACGGCCCACCAAGGCAACGAUCAGUAGGGGUUCUGAGAGGAAGGUCCCCCACAUUGGAACUGAGACACGGUCCAAACUCCUACGGGAGGCAGCAGUGAGGAAUAUUGGUCAAUGGGCGAGAGCCUGAACCAGCCAAGUAGCGUGCAGGAUGACGGCCCUAUGGGUUGUAAACUGCUUUUGUAUGGGGAUAAAGUCAAUCACGUGUGAUUGUUUGCAGGUACCAUACGAAUAAGGACCGGCUAAUUCCGUGCCAGCAGCCGCGGUAAUACGGAAGGUCCGGGCGUUAUCCGGAUUUAUUGGGUUUAAAGGGAGCGUAGGCUGGAGAUUAAGUGUGUUGUGAAAUGUAGUCGCUCAACGUCUGACUUGCAGCGCAUACUGGUUUCCUUGAGUACGCACAACGUUGGCGGAAUUCGUCGUGUAGCGGUGAAAUGCUUAGAUAUGACGAAGAACUCCGAUUGCGAAGGCAGCUGACGGGAGCGCAACUGACGCUGAAGCUCGAAGGUGCGGGUAUCGAACAGGAUUAGAUACCCUGGUAGUCCGCACAGUAAACGAUGGAUGCCCGCUGUUGGUACGUGGUAUCAGCGGCUAAGCGAAAGCAUUAAGCAUCCCACCUGGGGAGUACGCCGGCAACGGUGAAACUCAAAGGAAUUGACGGGGGCCCGCAC
rnacentral:rRNA from 1 species